ensembl:snoRNA
UGCCUUUAUGUGUUGCCCGUUCAUUAUCAUCUAGAGUGAAUGUGGUGUCAAAUAAGGCGCACAACAAUUUUUGCAGCAGCCUGAGUUAAUGGAAUAUAUUGUAUAUUUCUUUUUAAGUGCUGUGGCAAGAACACGA